GCCCAUUGAUCUGGGCCGGUGUCCCUAUUCAGUCAAAGAGGAUGGUCUUCUCCAGUAGAGAAGGGCUAUCCUUCAGUCAUAUGUAUACAAGUAGAUUACUCCCCUGCUAGAACUUCCAAACAAACUUAACAUCCAUUUGUAAGGUGUAAGGUAGUCAAGCUUCCCAAACUGCAGACACAUGUAAAUGAGGCACUGGAUGUGGUAAUCUGCCCUUGUUU
rnacentral:snRNA from 1 species